CAGGCUGGCCGGGCGAUCGCGGCCCAGAGCCGAAGCCCUGAGCGAAAGCUAAGGGUCAGGCGAAGGGUCGAGGAAAGUCCGCACUCCACAGAGCACGGCGUCGGGUAACACCCGGGGCGGGGCAACCUGCCGGAUCAGGGCCACAGAAACAGGUCGCCGUGAGUGGAGAAGAGAGAUUAGAGAGUAGUCUGUGACUAUUCUCUACUCUCGAAUCUCUACUCUCGGUCAGAGUGAAAAGGCGGUGUAAGAGACCACCGGCGCCCGCAGUAAUGCAGGCGGCCAGGCAACCCCCGCCGGGAGCAAGGCCAAGCAGAGACAAAGUCGCCUCCGGGCGGCGGGAGGCUGCUCGUCUCCCUUGAGUCUCGGGUAGGCUGCUAGAGCGGCGCGGUAACGCGCCGCCCAGAGAGAUGAUCGCCCAGGCGGAGAACCGGGAUGAAGCUCUGAGCUUCGGCGAAGAGUGUAAACCGGAACCCCCUCCGCUGGACAGGAUGCGGCUUACAGACCAGCCUGAGGU
rnacentral:RNase_P_RNA from 1 species